CGCCUGGGGAGUACGGCCGCAAGGUUAAAACUCAAAUGAAUUGACGGGGGCCCGCACAAGCGGUGGAGCAUGUGGUUUAAUUCGAUGCAACGCGAAGAACCUUACCUACUCUUGACAUCCUCAGAAUUUGCUGGAGACAGCGAAGUGCCUUCGGGAACUGAGAGACAGGUGCUGCAUGGCUGUCGUCAGCUCGUGUUGUGAAAUGUUGGGUUAAGUCCCGCAACGAGCGCAACCCUUAUCCUUUGUUGCCAGCGCGUGAUGGCGGGAACUCAAAGGAGACUGCCGGUGAUAAACCGGAGGAAGGUGGGGAUGACGUCAAGUCAUCAUGGCCCUUACGAGUAGGGCUACACACGUGCUACAAUGGCGGAUACAAAGUGAAGCGACCUCGCGAGAGCAAGCGGAACACACAAAGUCUGUCGUAGUCCGGAUUGGAGUCUGCAACUCGACUCCAUGAAGUCGGAAUCGCUAGUAAUCGUAGAUCAGCAUGCUACGGUGAAUACGUUCCCGGGCCUUGUACACACCGCCCGUCACACCAUGGGAGUGGGUGGCAAAAGAAGUCGGUAGCUUAACCUUUUUGGAGGGCGCUGACCACUUUGUGGCUCAUGACUGGGGUGAAGUCGUAACAAGGUAACCGUAGGGGAACCUGCGGUUGGAUCACCUCCUUACCU
rnacentral:rRNA from 1 species